UGAGAGAGGGACGUGGGAAGAAAAUGGGAAAGGGAGAGAUUUGGUUUCCCUUUUUGUGCUCCAUCACUUGAUUUUUGGUGAUGGAAUCAAGAGAGGAAAAAUCAAGUCAUUAUUGGAGAUUAUUUCCAUUAGGGUUAGGCUUGAGAUAAAAGGAAAAUAGAGGGAUUUUCCCUCACACUUUGGUGUGUGACCGACGGCUAGAGAGAGAGAGUGUAUGUGAGAGCAAGAGAGGGAAGGAGAAAGAGAAGGAGAAAGGAAGAAGAAGGAGGAGGAGAAAAGAGGAGGGGUUCGAAUUCUAUAGGUGCCAAAGGGGAAUCAACUUUGUGAGUUUGAUUGCUAUCAAAGGAGGAAAUAAAUUGCUAUGGAAAUGGAAGUUCGAUGUUUUACUAUGUCAUGAUUAGCCAAGUGUUAGAAAAGUGAAAUUCAAUGUUGAUAUGGUAUGUUAAGACAAGUGUUAUGAAGCAUGUAAUUUCUAUGUUUUUCAUGUGGAUUGUGUUACAUGUGCUUGUAUGAUGAAUGAAAAGAAAAGGUUGCCAGCGGUCUGAACACGAUGCAACAAAGAAGUUACUAAGGAUAUGACAUAACUCAAAGGGUGGACACGCCGAGGUUAUUCAUGUUGGGAAUAAUGUCCUUAAAGUAAUUGUAGUUGACGAAUGUUUUAAAUGAAAUAAAUAAUUGAAUUGAA